GAUGGCCAUAUCACUUUAAAACACCGGUUCUCGUACGAUCAGCGAGGUUAAGCAACGCUGAACUUGGUCAGUAUCUAGUUGGGUAACCGCUUGGGAAUACCAGGUGCUGUAAG